AAUAUUAUAUCCAAAUAAGAGGACAUGAUAGAGAGAGUCAAGAAAGACAAGGUUUGCAAUGGUUUUCUCAUUUUCCUCUAAACAGGACUUAAUUAACCAGCAUCAUGAAAAUGUGUCCAUCCUGUUAAUGCAAUGAAUGGAACUUGUUUUACUCAGUCAUAGUUAGACUAACACAUAAGAGCUUGUAAAAUAAUUAAACUGCAAUUUGCCAAAUAAACCAUAUCAUUUAGUAUAUAAUAACUUUAAAAUAUUCCUCCAGUGAACACAGGAACAAAGAUAAACAACCAUUUCUAAGUUGCGACUGCUUGUGCCACCUGAUUAGCCAUACAGCAACUGACAACUCUUUACUGAGUUUUACCAUGAUUUUG
rnacentral:misc_RNA from 1 species